rnacentral:rRNA from 1 species
UGGAUAUCCUUUUAAAGGAUUCCGGUCAGCGAUGGGGAUGCGUUCCAUUAGAUAGUUGGCGGGGUAACGGCCCACCAAGUCGACGAUGGAUAGGGGUUCUGAGAGGAAGGUCCCCCACAUUGGAACUGAUACAC